rnacentral:lncRNA from 1 species
GGGGAGCAGAAACCAAUCAAAGAAAGCAAUACUUUUUAUCAAUCAUAUUUGAUGCUAUUCUUUCUCUCUCUUUCAUCACUUUGAUCUCUCAAAUAAAACUGAUACUUUGGACACUUUCCAAACUCUUAGCUUUGCAGUCUGAGAGGGCUCUGGGUUAGCUGCUGAGGGUAUGUGUUUGCAAUUAUGCAUUUGAAAGUAUUUUCCCCUCCGCUGAGAUAACAUUCUUUUUGUGUUACCACACACUUCUGCUGUCUCGUUUUUCUUCUCCCAUGGCACUGUAGGCUGAAAGGCCUCACUGCAUUCCCCCUCCUCCCCCGAUCUUUGCAACUGAUAUCUGAAUAAAAUACUUUACUCUGCUGGUAUUUAACCUGCUGAGCCUUUCACUUUCUAGCUGUGAAACAGACAAAAAGGGUAUCAUGCAGAAACAUCCUGGCAGUUUCAUUUCUUAAUAUGCCUCCAAGGCUGUUGCCCUCGACUGUUGAGUUGUCGCUCUGCAAAGCUGUAUUCAUACAGAACUUGAAUACCAUGUGCAAAAGAAGAAAAAAAAAAAGCAAAAGACUCAGAAAAAGGCAACAAGAAUGAUCAAAGGUCUAAGCAAGAGGCAACUGAACUGCUUGGAUUCUUCGGUUCAGAGAAUAAAUGAGCAAGGAUAGCUCGCAUCUGGGAACACGCACAGAGUGGGAUCAAGACAGCACACGGCGCAGCAGCGCAGGGACCGUGCCCAGCCACGCUGCCCGCCUGCUCCUUUCUGCGCGGGGCCACGGCUUCUUCAGCUCAUACAUCACUCCCGGCUUAGUCAGACAAACCCUGCAGCCAGCGGGCUACAUAAUGUGCUGCUCUUGUUUUGAUUUCGAGGCUCUGGGGCCUAGCUGUCAGCUGGCUUGUACUAUAAUGGGACAAACAGCUAACUCAAAGAGGAUGCAGGAAAUAAAGGAAAUGUAUGUAUUUUUAAGGAUAUGGAUGACGGGGGAGGAAUCGCUGAUAUGACUGUGAACUCUUGUGAUAUAUUUAGAACCUUGGAGUAAAACUGCAGUUUCACUGAAGUCAAUAAAAAUAUUGUCAUUGACUUCA